GACGAACGCUGGCGGUGUGCCUAAUACAUGCAAGUCGAGCGGACAAACAGGAGCUUCCUCCUCUUUGUUAUCGGCGGUCGGGUAUGGUAAACGUGGGCAUCCUCCCUUUCAGAUUGGGAUAACUUCGCGAAAGCAGACUUACUACCGUAUAGCACAUUAGAUCCAAUAUCCAACAGCUGAAAUAUGGACUUUGCUCUAUCGUAUGAAUGGGUCCGCGCCGCAUUAGCUAGUUGGGGAAAUAACGGCUCACCAAGGCAACGAUGCGUAGCCGACCUUAGUGGGUGAGCAGCCACACUGGGACUGAGACACGGGCCAGAAACCUACGGGAGGCAGCAGUAGGGAAUAUUCGGCAAUGGACGAAAGUCUGACGCAGCAACGCCGCGUGAGUGAUGAAGGCUUUCGGAUUGUAAAACUCUGUUGUUAGGGAAGAAAACGAGCCGGAGAAACUCCCGGUACCUUGACGGUACCUAAGAAGAAAGCCCCGGCUAACUACGUG
rnacentral:rRNA from 1 species